rnacentral:lncRNA from 1 species
UCGAAUAACAAUAAAGAUAAGUAAUAAUAUGAAAGACUAGAGUCAUUUACAUAAUAUAAUCAAAGUACACAGAACAGAAACGUAGCCAACGUAGAUAAGCCCACCACAGGCAGCUGACUGGGGGAGGUCGCUAGCCUAAUCCUCGAACUCGUCGAAGUCCUGGAACUCCUGGAGAUUCGCCUCGACGCCUUCUUCUUUACCUGAGCAUAGAUUGCACCAAAGGCAACCUGGUGUUUUGUGAAAGCAAGGGUGAGUACACAUCAACGUACUCAACAAAUGUCCUGUUUGGCUGUAGUGGACUAGCUUUAUUUGGGGUUAAGGUCAAGCAGUUGCUUUUAGUUGGUCAGGUUAUUAUUAUUAAUUGAGAGCCAGAUUUUAACAUUAACCCAAGUUAUUAACCCAAAGUACCCUUUCCAAACGGAAAGAAUACCACUUACCAUUACCAUAGUCAUAACCAUCAUCCUUGUCACCACCUGUAAACCAACCAUCUCUGAUCAAGUAUCUCUAAUCAAAGAGGAUCCCAAGGCCGCUCAUAACCGUGAGCACGGCUGAUAUAUCAGUUUCAAUACCCUCUGCAGAGGUCGCACACUUUACCCAUGAGCCGUGAUUCCCAUUUUGCCCGGGGAUCAUGACUCCCCAUUGAUCACUUCCUAGGUGGUCCGACAGGGUAUCACUACAUAGCUUUUACAAAGAUUCCCUAGAGGUCAUAGCUGCCCGUUAGGUUUCUCCAGUUUGAUAAACACAGUACCUCUCCCCGAAGGGGGGUGACUAACAAAAGCAAAACGAAAGAACUUCGGCACCCAGCCUCGGCAGAGCAAGCACUGUGCCUGGACCCCAUUGACGGCACGACGGCGAAGCAACUACACCUCUAGUUCCUCUAAUUAAUUAGCUAAGGGCGCCCCAUUUCACCCUCAUGGUUGCACUGUUAUCCCGGGUAGUCUCUCAACGAACAGGUCCUUACGGAGAGGUACUCGGGAAACAGCCCGAGUCCCCUAAAUGCCACAAGUAUAUCAUCAUAUCCAGAAUAAAAUCAUAGUAUCAUCAUUGUAUCUCAUCAUGUUCAUUGAUUAAAGUAAAGCGCUAGCAUGUAGCUAACCAUAGUAACCCAAAAGGUAAAUCAAGGACAAGGUAAAUAGAAAGCUAGUAAAUCCUUAGGUUGUUCAUAGUAUGCGGGACAGUGUAUUAUAAAGUAAAUGGGACAUAAUGGGUCAGAGGACACUUGCCUUCACCAAACAGAUGCUCAGAGUCUUCAACUUCGUGGAACUCGAAGAGCUAGAUCACUUGGUCGCCGAAGCUUGAUCGUCGAUUCCUCGAAGCUCGGGAACAGAUCGCAAUCUAUUCGAGACGCGCAACGAAUCCAAACACGCACAAGCAAACAUAUAUUUGCAUAAGAACAUUACACCAUACAAGAUAAAAUAUUAUCAAAACACACAAUAUAAAAAUAGAGAGCGCUUAUACGGUUACGCAAAGAUAAGAAAUGCGACGGUCGAAUCUACGGUCGAUAAGUUAUUACGUUUACGUUAAACAAGUAUAACUAUAACCUUUAAUUCGACAUUAUUAAAUACAAACUAUAUCUAAUAUUUAGUUUCGCUUAACCUGUUACACUAGCAGCUAUCAGUUAAACAAAUAAUUUAAUUAAACUGAGAGAUUCUAAGUGAGGCAAAUUUACGACGCGCGAAACAGCAUGACAGCGUGCGAAUGACACGCGGACACGCGCGACAUAGCACGCUGAUGACACACGAAAAUAGUGCGCGCGACCAGCGCGAACGAAGCGCAAACCAGCACGUGACCACGAGCACAUCACGCACGAACAGCGCGCAGACAAUGAGACGAUACGUGAUACUCGCUAACAGAUAACACAAUUAUACUAAACAAGUAUUAAUAAAAACAUUUGUGUAGAUAUAAUCAUAUUAACAGAUAUCCAUAAAGCGCAACUAAAACUAUAGACUAGUUUAAGUAAAUUACUACUUUAAUAACUUGGGUAAAUAAAAAUCAACUAAUUAACUAGAAUGUGUAUCGCGACCAAAUAAUGUUACUAAUACGUAGGAAACAUUAUUAUAAGGUUAACACAACGAGAAUAGGCUGAAACGGAUUAAAUCGGACGUCUAACGCAAAUGGUAACUCGUAUUUAAUAACACGUGGAUUUAAUACGGUGGCACGAUAUGAGUGGCCAGAGCCAAGCCACACAGAGGCCUACGAAGUUGCGGGCACAAAAGAUCCAACACGAGGUAGUUUCCAAUACUCACUUCAUGCCUGCAUGCGAAUUUGACGAUCAAGCAACAUACGCAUGGAAUAUGGGAUGAGGCCAGCGGUUUCCAGGGAGCUAAUUGUGCGCAUGGCGUGAGAAAUGUGCAUGCAUGCGGGGCCCAUAGACGGUUAUUUCUUCUCUCCCAGAUCUCACGCACGACAUAAACAAAAAGCAAUUACCUUUCUCUUCCAUGGCUGUAACUCCACGACGUCCUUCUCAGUCUUCCUUGCGCAUACCAGGGAUGAGGGGCCGGUCUCCAGACAGCCAGCGGACUCGCCGACGACCAUGGCUGGCAGCGAUGGCUGCUCGCCAUAGCCAGGACUAGACGAUAGUGGCGCAGAUGGAAGGUCGCUCGAUGGAGCCUAAGCUGGCGAGCGGCUUGUCGGAACCGAGGCUCGGCCAGCAGCAGGCGGGCGGGCGGCUACACCGACGGACGAUGCUCCAGGUGGUUCGAUCUCCAAGUGGCAUGCGGGGUUCUAGGCGAGGAGAAUGGGGAGGGGAAAAGCAGGACUGCGACGUGGGUGGUUUUGCUGGUGAGAUGGGCGUGGGCGGCUGGAGAGCGCAGGGUGGGCGCUGGCCGCUGGGCUGCGCAGAUCGAGCGCGGCGUUGGGCCGGGCACACGGCUAGGGUGGGGCGCAAACAGCCCGAGGAGAGGGGCGCGGCGCUGGGCCGGCCACGCGGCCAGGGAGUAGGACGUGCGUGUGUUUCUUUUCUUUAUUUAUUUAUAUAUAUAUAUAUAUAUAUGAAUAUAUAUAUUCCAAAAUUGUAGUAAAUCAUAAAUAAUAAAUUAUCCAAUUUCAAAAGAAUAAUUAGGGUAAGUCGUAUUUAUUUAAAGAGACUGGGUUUAAAAAAAAUAGAUCGAGUACAAAUAAACCUUUGAACUUAGAAACACUAUGCAACGACAUGAAUGUAACAACCAACAUAUAACAAAAUAAUUCUCCAUUAUUUAGGAAAUAGAGAAGGAAAGGAAAGAUAGGACAGGGUAACACCUGAAUUUGGUGGAUAUUAGAAAAGAAAUUUUAUACCCCAAAUUCAGGGUGUUACAAAUCUAACCCCCUUAACAGAAUCUCGCCCUCGAGAUUCAAGAAGAGGCUAGCAGGAAAAAAAAGAGAUUCGUUCAUUGGUUGAUCACAGCUCUCUUGGGUUAACUUUGAUUCUGCAAACUUAACUUGGGGAUUGGUUUGCUUUGACUUUCAGGUGCUUGAGACCGACCGAUGCAAUUCUUGAGGAUCUCUUGAACCUGUGGGUUAGGACCCACACACGCUUGCGUUGCGCCACUUUGAUCUUAUUGGUUGAUGUUGAUUGCAUUGUCUUCAUUGGGGUUAGCGGCUAACCCCCUUAACAGAAGCGUUGAUAUGCACUUGGUGAAGAUAUUGUCAACUCUGAUCCUGACUGAUUAAGAGAGGUUGCAGGAUGCCAACCGGACAGGUGCAAAAGGGAAGAGUAUAGAUAAAAAAGGUAAGCAUAGAUGGCUUAAAGAGAAAGAAGGGAGAGCACCCAGUUAGUAAACGGAUGCCAUUGCGGACCCAGGGACCACAACACACCAACACUCAUUACAAAGAAGCAAAUCAGUCAUAACACAAAGACAAACAACACAAGCAUACAACAACAAACAUCUCGUUGCUACACGUUAAUGUUAACUUGAUGGUGGUCUUUGAAAAGGGAAUAACUACUCUCUAAGGUUGUCGAAGGACGAGGAGAAGAACAAGAUGUAUGGGAUAGGGGCACGAGCAAAAUAAGGGAUGGAGUUAAAGCAAGGAUUGUAAUCUACAAGGGAGAAAAUGCAACCAAGGGCAGGAUAGGUAAACACCAUUCUCAAAUCGAGAUGGGAAAGAUGAUAAUUCAAAAGGUAGGCAUAAGAUGAGCAUCAUGGAAAGAUCCAGUGACUACAAAGGUAGAGAAGGUAACAGGCGAAAGCACACCAAAAGAUCGAGUUAAGGCAAGGCUUGCAGCAUGACCGAGGAAAAGGGAACAAACAAGAGCAGGGAGGCGUAAGACAACACUCUUGAAAUGAAAUGGGGGAGGCGGCUUUAAAAUGCAGGUACAGGAUAAGCAUCAAAGUAAAGAUCGAGGGACGACAAGGGUUAAGGUGAUAACGGACAAACACACAACAAAGGAUGUAUUUUAGACAAAACUUGCAAGGGGUCAAAGAAGAGGGAGCAGUCAAUGAUGAAAUAGAUGAGGCUUUAUCCCCGAACAGGGAGGGAAAAGAGGAGUCUUCAAAUGGUAGGUUCAAGGUAAACAGGAAGGCAAGGACAUAUAUAUCACGAGGGUUUAAAGGUGAUAACAAACAAGGCUGUAGGAGAGGAGGUAAAUGGGCAUAAGAACCAAGGAUAUAAGUACCAUAAAGGAUGGAGUUAAGAUCGGACCUGCAAAUGGAAAAGGAGAGGGUACGUCCAAGGGCCAGAUAGGUAAAUUGCCACUCUCAAAUUGAGGUGGAAGAGAGGGGAUUUUUAAAGAGUAGGAAUAAAGAUGAGUAUCAAGGCAAGAUCGAUGGAUGACAAGGUGAGGGUGAUAGCAAAUAAAAACACAGCAUGGGAUGGAAUUAACACAAAACUUGUAUGGCGACAAGAAGUGAAAAGAAAUCAAGGGAGAGAUGGGUAACUCGCAACUCUCAAACUAGGAUGAAAGAAAGGGGAGACUUUUAAAGGAUAAAUUCAAAGUAAACACUUAGGUAGAAGGCCUCAAUAUCGCAAGGGUCAAAGGCGACAACAGACAAGAGUAUGAGAGAAAAGAUGAAGGCAUUGGAGAGCUAGUGGUAUGAGUACAACAUAGAAUGAAGUUACGUCGAAGCUUACACGCGGUAAAGAAGAGGAUAUUGCCAAGGGUGAGGUAAGUAAAACACCACUCUCAAAUUGAGAUAGGAGACUGAAGAUUUUAGAUAACAGACAUAAUGUAAUCACAAGGUAGGAUAGAGUGAUGAGAAGGGUAAAGGUAAUAACAAACAAAAGUAGGCAAAGGAUGGAAUUAAAAACUCGCAAGUGACAAAGAAGAUGAUACGUCCAAGAGGAAAAUAGGUAAAACAUACAACUCUCGGAUGAAGAUGGAAAAGAGGAGAUUUUAAAGGGCCGAAAUAAGAUAAACAUCAAAGUAAGAUAUAGAGGUGAUAAGGGCAAAGGUGAUAAUGAUGAAAAGCAUAAUCCAUGGACAGAGUUAAGGCAAGACUCGCAAACUGGCAAAGUGGGGAAACCAAUCAAGGAUAAGAUAGGUGUGGUUCCAACAGAAGAGUUAAAGUAAAAAAUUCAUUACUGAGGGAAGUUACAACGAAACAAUGAGAUUACCAAGGAUGUGCAAAGUAAAAUGACCGCUAAUGGAUCAUUAAGAAACAAGGGUGGUCAAGGGCAUGUAAGCUGAAAUGCUCUAAAUAGACAUUGGGAUAUAAAGGUACACAUAUAUAUAAAGAUAAGAGUAUGCAAGGUUCCAAGGAUACGAGCAUAGCAAAACCAAGAGAAUAGAAAUUGCCGAAAGUUAGUUAUUAACAACAGAAUAGGAAAGGAUCUCCGAAGGCAAGAAGGUCAAGGACAUAUAAACUGAAAUGUUUAAAUAGGCAGCAGAGAUUUAGAGAUCAAUAUUUGAAUCAAGGGAAAGGGUAUUGAAGAUUCCAGGGAUACAAGCAUGUCAAUACCAAGAGAAUAGAUAUGGUCGAAUGGUAGCAAUUUAAUGAUGGAAGAGGAAAUAAUCCCAAAAGACAAAAGGCUAUGGUCAGGGGGCAUCUACAAAGAUGUCGCAAGCACAAGGGUGAGAUCAGAUCUAAUACAUUGAGAAAAGUAUAGACCAUACUAGAAUAAAAUACUUUUGGCAAGGUGAUAUAUAGGAGAAUAACAUAGAAUUAGUCGAGGUGACUAAUAUUUUGAAGCAGCAUCAAGGAGGAUGUGAAGUAAUAGUCAUUAAGUCCUUAAACGGCCAAUGCUACUAUAGGCUAGCGGUCCUACAGUCAGCACGGCUUUGAUACCACUUAUGUCACACCCGGUUUUGAAGGUAAACCGAAUGCGAACCAUGUACGUGCCAGGAUCAGAAAUUCACGUACACAGCGAUUACAUAAAUGACUCAUCAUAGCACAAUGCUUCGAAUAACAAUAAAGAUAAGUAAUAAUAUGAAAGACUAGAGUCAUUUACAUAAUAUAAUCAAAGUACACAGAACAGAAACGUAGCCAACGUAGAUAAGCCCACCACAGGCAGCUGACUGGGGGAGGUCGCUAGCCUAAUCCUCGAACUCGUCGAAGUCCUGGAACUCCUGGAGAUUCGCCUCGACGCCUUCUUCUUUACCUGAGCAUAGAUUGCACCAAAGGCAAC